UUGCUUUGGCAGCACACAUACUAAAAUUGGAACGAUACAGAGAAGAUUAGCAAUGGCCCCUGCGCAAAUGCAGCUAUUUUGGCAUGAUUGCUUUUUUUUUUUU
rfam:Mus musculus chromosome 4, GRC primary reference assembly.